rnacentral:rRNA from 1 species
CAGCAGCCGCGGGAAUACGGAGGGAGCUAGCGUUGUUCGGAAUUACUGGGCGUAAAGCGCGCGUAGGCGGCUUCUUAAGUCGGAUGUGAAAUCCCUGAGCUUAACUUAGGAAUUGCAUUCGAUACUGGGAAGCUAGAGUAUGGGAGAGGAUGGUAGAAUUCCAGGUGUAGCGGUGAAAUGCGUAGAGAUCUGGAGGAAUACCGAUGGCGAAGGCAGCCAUCUGGCCUAAUACUGACGCUGAGGUACGAAAGCAUGGGGAGCAAACAGGAUUAGAUACCCGGGUAGUCCCUGUCUCUUAUAC